AUCAAGGUACAACAUAGCAAUACACAUUAUCCAACAAAUUUAAUCAAAACCCAUUUCCAUAUGCAUACCCCUAGAAUAGGGGUUUUAGCCAAUCAUAUUAAAAGUACAAGAAAGUAAACCAAAAAAAUUCUCGACCAUCAGAUUGAUGAUUUGCAACUUAAAUUAAAUAGACCCACUUCAAAAAUCCUAAAAAUUAUGGGUUACCAGCUUGUUUCUCACACUACAAAAUAGAACUUUUCUAUUGUACGCUUUCAGAAAAGUUUCAGAUCACAUUCUAUAAGCUAAAAAGAUGCAUUUUUCUCUCCUUUCUUCUAUUUAUUGUUCCCCAAAACUUCAUCAAAUUUCUUAGUUGGAAAUGUUAGUCGUUCUCACCAACUUGUUCUUCUUCUCACCGACUUCUUCUUCUUCUCGCCUUUCUUGGUUUCAGGCUUCAAGGGUUUAAACCACAAUUGGUGAGCUCGAUGGAGUUCAUCGUUCAUAUUUGGUGAGUAGUCGAUUAUCAUCCAAUCUUGCCUUUUGGCCUUAAUCUUGGCUUAAAUGUACUGUAACUUUCGGCGAGCACUAGUUAGUUCACCGAUUGAGUUCGGUGAGUUGCUGUUUAGCUCUUCUUCUCACCAACCUAUCUAUAGCAUUUGAGUUAAUGACUCUGUCAUUUUUUGUGAGAUCUAAAAAAUUUAGUGAUUUGCCGAAUGCCUUUUGGUGAGCAUCGAUGUCACGAUUUUCCUCUUUUUCCAUUGUUUUAGCUUCUUUUUUGUGAUUCAUCCUUGCCUUUUCCUUGAGACUUCAUAGCUACAAAACACAAUAAAUCAUUAGAUACGAACUUAAAAAGGCAUUAAGGACACUAAUUGUUGAACUAAAAAGGCUUCAAAUGAGUCAAAAUCUCUGACUCAUCACAUCCUUUGAACCUCAUGGAUAGAUGGAAUGACACUCUUCUUUUUGCAACAUUAUUGGGAUAUCCUCUUCCUUAAUAUUAUCAUCGUAGUAAACAUUUCUUCAAUCUCUAAUACAUCUUAUCAUCUUGUAAUCAAACACUAAUUACUUUAUUUCAAAAAUGAAGAAUAUAUAAAUGGAAACAUAAGAAGUGCACAUGUAAAUAGUAUAUUGCAAAUUGUAAUAAGACGCCAACUUACAAAUUGAAAUGGCUUGGUUUAUG
rnacentral:lncRNA from 1 species